UAAAACCCUGAAUGAAAUUUUUUUUUUCCCGAUAGGCCUAAAAUAAUUAAUUGCUUUACAUGCAAGAAAAUAAAUUUUUAUCUAUUAUGUGGUAAAUUUUAGGCAACAGUUUAUCAAACAGUUUAUGAUCAAUUUUUAUUUCUUAUUUGACAAGAAGAAAACUAAUUUUUUUCAUGACAGACCUUUAGUUUAACUCCUAACUCUUUAAUUUUUUAAUGUAAAUUAUUCAUAUUCAACCUCCAUAUUUGUUUUUAAUUUGUAACACUUCAAGCAAAAUAAGACUCAAUUUCAUAUCAGAAGCUGAAAACUAUUGAUUGUUUUUUUACCCUUUACUAUAAUAGUCAUAGUUUUAACAACAACAAAAAACAUCAAAAUGUUCAUUUAUGAUUGAAAAAUAUUUCUGAGACCAAAUGUUAACUUAAUUAUUUAUUCAUUUUAUUCCAAAAGCUUGUUGGGUUGAUGCCUCAGUGACCUUUAUUCAUACUAACAUCAUGAUAUUUUCACAUUUAAAUUGCUUAAUUGAAUUUUACAAAGUGAGAUAAGGAUACUUUCACAAUUUUAUUUUAAUGUGUGGUUUUAUCAAGGGACGUUGUUGCAUCAAAUCAUUAUUGAAUUGCUGAUCUGUUAAAAUUGUAAAUAGCCUCAUUAUAUGAACUGUGAUAUUUUUUUACAAUUACUAGUCAUCAUUUUAGAAAUGUUACAUUAGAACUACAUGUAUUAACAUAUAUCCUACAAUCACUGGAAAGUCAUUAUCCAUAAAAUAUUGUUAUGAACAACAAACUGUUAUAAAUACUACAGAAUAGUCAAUUGCUUAAUUUUGUCAACUCAAGAACAUUUAUCAAUUUGAAAAAAAAAUGAAUUAACACACAGUUUUGCAAAUAUUUCUUCAGCAAAUUAAGUCUAAGAAAAGAGUCACUUUACGAGUCCAUGCCCUAUUGGAACAUUUAAAAGGAUUGUGACAUAUACAAUUCAUAUAUAUUUAAUUUGUAAAUUUAUAAUAUAUUUGUAAUUGAUUUAUAAUAUAGGUAGAAAACUACUUUCCAAAGUAUGAUGUAUUAUAGAUUUUUAACAAAACAAUUUUUAAUGUUGUGAUAUUGAUAUUUUUAUGCAUGCAAAUAAAAUUUAAAAUAUAUAAAUGUUACAAAUAUACAUGUGUCUAUCAAAAAUUUAAUUUGAUCAUUCAUGUCUGGUAGUAGUCUUGAGUACCCUAAAGAAAAAAAAUUAAGCAAGCUAUUUUUUUUCUCAAAACUAUUAAUCAAGACAAUGCAAGUUAACAACCAGAUGAAGGAAUUUUUGAUUGCAACACAUGACAAUAAUUCACUUGUACUUUGAUACGGGUUCUGUUACCUGGCAGCAGAGGCGAAUUUAGGGAGGAGCCACCAGGCCCCCUUUUUGGGAAAAAAUUUGGUUGCUUAUAUAGGGAAUCACUGAAGCGUGACUGGAGCGGGCCCCCACUUAUUAAAAGUUUCUAGAUCCGCCAGUGGGCAGUACAUUCAUUAAAGUAUCUAACGUCUUCAAACUUCAUUUUGUUUUAUAUUCUUCAUCAAUUAACUUCCAUAACACAUUGACAGUUUACUUUGUUUGCAGAUCAAAAUUGUUUUAUACUUAAGAAGGUGAAUAAAUGGAUUAAUGAUUGUAUUAACAAAGAAUAUGUCAUAAUGGACUAUCAUAAUAUUAAUGACAAAUUCAAUGUGUGAUGUUAUCAGAUAAUUCAAAACCAAAGAUAAUUAUAUUUAAUGUACUUAUGCACCAUAAGUGUAAAACAUGUACAGAGUUGUGAAAUAAAUAUUUAUGAUUCAUAGAUAGUGUUUUCUCUUUGUAUCACUGUUUCAAAUUCAUAAGAGUAACACAAUUCUAAGGAAAAAUAACUUAAAUGACAUUACUGACUACAUACUACAUACUACAUGUAACAUGGCACCAAACCCUCCCCUUAACCUGGGAUAAUAGUCUAUUACAAAUAACCAAUUUUUACUUGGUCAAGUCUGCAAAAUACUUUAUAUUUCUAUUAAUCAAACUUCCCUAAGAAUAUUUUAGGUUGACCAUGGAAGUAUUAUUGAAAGGAAUAAGCACGUCAUCACUUCAAAGGUUUCAUCUGCGUUACAGCC
rnacentral:lncRNA from 1 species